rnacentral:tRNA from 1 species
GCCUUCGUGGUGUAAUGGUCAGCACGCUCGACGUGAAACUUAGAGGUCCGUGGUUCGAUCCUCGGCGAAGGCG